rnacentral:rRNA from 1 species
GACAGAGGGUGCAAACGUUGUUCGGAAUUACUGGGCGUAAAGCGCGUGUAGGCUGCUCUGCAAGUCGGAUGUGAAAUCCCUGGGCUCAACCUAGGAACUGCAUUCGAAACUGGUCACCUAGAGUGAUGGAGAGGAAAGCGGAAUUCCCGGUGUAGAGGUGAAAUUCGUAGAUAUCGGGAGGAACACCAGUGGCGAAGGCGGCUUUCUGGACAUUUACUGACGCUGAGACGCGAAAGCGUGGGGAGCAAACAGG